GUUCACUUGAAAAAUCUAAAUUUGGUCAUAGUUCUGUGUCAUUAAUGUUGUCCUUAUGUUUGCUACUUGAUAGACAUGCAAUGUUUUAUGGGUUUGUUUUUUGUCUUUUUUAGAGCUUGACAGAUGUGGUCACUAUGAGCUGUGAUGGUCUGCUUGAAGAUUCAUCAGAAAUGUUUCUUUUGAUUUCCAUGGAAAACAUAACAGCAUACAGGUGUGGAACGAUGUUAGGGAAUGAGGUGGUCUUGGUCAGACGGUGGGCUGGAGGGACACUCCAGGGUUGGGUCACACAAGGGCAGGACAACAGAUGCCAAACUCUGCCCCACCUCUUUACAAUUAAAGCAGGAGUUGCUCCACUGGUCCGCAUGGUAACGGCGGGAGUAUUUGGUCAAGGGGCCUGCGGCGUAUAUAGAGGGAUCGUUGGUGUGAAAGCUGGAAUCUAUGACCAGACGCCCAUCGAACACCAAACAGGCAUCAUUGAUGGCCUUGAAGGCGUCAUAGUCGACAGUUUUAUGAGAGAAGCUGCAGAACACCUAAGAAAAUCAAGUUAUAUAAGUAUAUAAGUUAGUGACCAUCUGAGUUAUGUGUUUCAGC